AGCAGCCGCGGUAAUUCCAGCUCCAAUAGCGUAUAUUAAAGUUGUUGCAGUUAAAAAGCUCGUAGUUGAAUUUCGGGGUCAGUAGUUUGGUCGUGCCAAUGGUAUGUACUGGGCUCACUGAUUCCUCCUUCCUGAUGAACUGUAAUGCCAUUAAUUUGGUGUUGCAGGGAAACUGGACUGUUACUUUGAAAAAAUUAGAGUGUUUAAAGCAAGCUAACGCUUGAAUACAUUAGCAUGGAAUAAUGAAAUAGGACGUUCGAUCCUAUUUCGUUGGUUUCUAGGAUUGACGUAAUGAUUAAUAGGGAUAGUUGGGGGCAUUAGUAUUCAAUUGUCAGAGGUGAAAUUCUUGGAUUUAUUGAAGACUAACUACUGCGAAAGCAUUUGCCAAGGAUGUUUUCAUUAAUCAAGAACGAAAGUUAGGGGAUCGAAGACGAUCAGGUACCGUCGUAGUCUUAACCAUAAACUAUGCCGACUAGGGAUCGGAUGAUGUUAAUUUUUAAUGACUCAUUCGGCGCCUUAA
rnacentral:rRNA from 1 species